UAUCUCUGUUUCCACUGUUUGCCUUAUUUUUCUUUUGCAAACUGUCUCUAGCCGACGUUUCCAAUCCUCCUGCGCCACCUGGAGGAAUGUUUGAAGAUACACGACCUAAGACCUGCUCUCUCCUCACAAAGCUGAUGGGGUUUGAACAGGUCUGCUGCAGCUGUCUGGAGAGUAAACGCGGCCUCGCUACAGAGUCCUCCCUGAAAGCAAGUUUGCACCCAGCAGACAAAGUGUGUUGUCACCCGAGUGUGCUGUGUUGUCGGGUACGAGCUGAAGAGGACUAUGGCUGCUCUUGAGAAGUAGCACACUGUUAAGAAUAUCUUCAACAACACAACAAAUCGUGUGUGCAGGUGACACACAUCACAGAAAUCAAGUUAGCCAGGUUGCUGUAAACUGGGAAAGGCUCAAACCCCAAACUAAAUGUAAACACAGAAAUAUUUCAAUUUUGUGUUUAAUAAGAGACGUGCUUUAUGUCACUUGCUAAUUACAAGUAAUGCAGUGCUGUGAAAAAGUGCUUGCCCACUUGCAGAUUUAUUCUGUUAAACUUUUUUGUCACACUUAAAUGUUAAAGAUCAUCAAAGAAAAUUGCAAUAUCAGACAAAGAUAACAUGAGUAAAUACAAAUACUGAAUUUUCAAACCGAUUUAGCACUAAGUAAGCAAACUUACAGUAUGAUCUGUCUGAUGAUAAGCUAAAAUAUCUAAAAGAGCAACACCUGCUGCCCCAAUUUAAUGAAAUUCAAGAACAUAUGACAAUCAAACAUAUUCACAUUUCAGUCUGGAAAGGGUUACAAAUACACUUCUAAGUCUUUGUAACUCAAGUUAACUCUUGUGUCAUUAUCCACAAAGGAAGAAAAUAUGUUAAAAUUGUAGGCCUUUCUAAUGGAAAGACUUGCUUUCCAUCUGGAAAAUAACUGCAAGAGGGACAAUCAACAAUUUAUCUAGGAGGAUACAAGAACCCAAACCAGCGACUGCAAGAUUGUCUGCAAGACUAAAGCCUUGCAGACCAUAUGCAUCUUAGUUAAGGUCAGUGUUCACGGUUUUGCAAAUUAAGAGACAGACUGAGCAACAAUUGCGUCCAUGGGAGCGUUUCAAACUGAAAGCUGUGUUGACCAACACGAACAAAAAGGCCCAUCUCAGAUUUUUCCAAAAAAACAUCUCUAGGAUCCAUAAGGCUUUUGGAAAACCAUUCUGUGGACUGACUAGACAAAAGUAGGACUUUUGGAAGGUGUUUGUUCCAUUACGUCAUAAAACAACAUUUAAGAAAAAAAAAUCAUACCAACAAUCAAACAUGGUGGUGUGGUGAUGCGUCAGUUCCAGACCU